rnacentral:rRNA from 1 species
UUAGCCCUAAACUAAGACAAUCCAAUUAACAAGAUUGUCCGCCAGAGAACUACUAGCAACAGCUUAAAACUCAAAGGACUUGGCGGUGCUUUAUAUCCCU